AUUCCAUUGAGGAACUUUAAUCGAAAAUAAAAGGAAAUUUCACUUAGCCACUGAGCAUAGCAAACAACAUCACGGAGGAAAGAUCUUGUCAAUAAUACGUUUCCUUACCUUAGUCACGCGAGCAAUGGGAAUUCCUGAAACGGUGUACCUAGAACUGUAGACCGAAAAGGACUGUCCUGAACUGUCCACUCCCUAGGACGUGGUUCUCCCGCAACAGGAUUCCUUGGAACACGAGCAAUCGCGAAAACAGGUCUUGCAAGCUUUUAUACCCUGUGGAUUUCACGUGUGUUCGCGAAGAUUCCAUAGAUCCUCGUGUACGCACACGUAUCCUGGAUAUAUGUAAAGACGAUUGAACGGUUUGAGUGGGAGGUGGUGGUAAAAAGGACAAAAAGAAGAAACUGCAAACAACAAGUUCAUGGAACUUCUGUUAAAACUGGCUGUGGUUAGCUAUUAGAGGCGAAAUCUCGUCACGUAUCGGCUGUCAUGGAAUAGGAAGAGAUGUACGAAUGGAAUUUUUCGUUGAAAAAUUUUGUUUCAAUUGGAUGAAAGUUGAUCCAUUAAAAAAUUGAGGUUAAGUUUCAAUUCAUGGGUCAUGAUUAUAUUUGCUAGAAAAAUUCUCUAUGAAGGAGUAAGAGAAAGAAUAUAUCAAAAUUUGAAAAAUCAAGCAUAAAAUUUGAAAUGUUUAUUGAUUUUAGGUAAUAUUCAAAUUAUUGCAAUUUUUAUAAUAUAUUAACUUAAAUCUAAUUCUUAGACUAAUAAACAAGUGGCUAAUAAACAAUUCAUUUAUUUUUAUUUCGAAUAAAAAGUGAUAAAUACUGUUUUUACAACGAACAAAAGAUGUGUUAACUGCUAAUGAAAUUGUGUGGUCUUGAGUUUCGUAACAAAAUGGUUCGAACGUAAAGUGAAGAUCAUAAAUAUUUCAAGUAUAGUGGAAUAUGUUUGGAAUACAGAUGCGUUUAAAGUUCGCUAAGAAAUGGAUGUGUAUACACACGAGGAUACCAUAUGCGGCAAGUUUCUUUUGCUUCUUUAUCGAGAAUGGAUCAUACUUGGAAUCGAAUAUUUAGAAGAUAGAAAUAUUCCAAUUUCUCUAAAAAAGUUGAAAAUGCAUAAAAUAUUAAAUAAAUUUAUUUUUUAGAACUUACAAAUGGCAAAUAGAAUUUCGCCCUACGUUUCGUACCAUUGUAUUGUCAAGUGAAUUGACUUGGUUCGACGAGCAUCCUCGAAGGUAUACUCGUUCCUGCAGGAGAGAUAAAUCCUUGGACGGCACACGGUAUUUCUACGACCAAUUUGAAAUGUUCGUGACCAGGCAGGAGAAGACGGUAAAGUCCCAUCCAACGGGGUCGAUGUACUUCCGGAACUUGGAAAAAAUGUUUGCACGUCGCGGAGGUGAGAACCACUGGAUUCCAGCGGAUCGCGGUUAUUACGUUGUUACAAGGGUAGGCAAAAGCUUUGAGAUUCGUAGUUCUCUCACGGUUACGUAUGAGAUGAUUUUCUCGAAUUCUAUUCGAAAACAAUUGUAAUAACUGUAACAAAAUAAAAUCAACUUUGCUAAUGAAUAGCAAAGUCAAUAGCAUUGUUAAUUAGAUGAUGAUUUUGGUCUGUCUAUUGACAAAUCAUUAUAUAUGUAAAAGGUUGUAAAAGUAUGGAAUACUGUUUUUGAGUUAGAGAAUUCUUUAUAUAAUUUAGAGAAUUCUUUAUACAGUUUGUAUAUGUUAUAAAUACAAUCAUCUUCGCUAACAAUAAUCGUUAUUGACAAUCAAAUGAGAGAAUAGAAAUUUUGAUUUUUUCUUCAAUGAAUCAUUGUAUAUAAAGAAUUAUCGUUACGUGAUGGCAUUGAUUUCGAAAUUAGUAAGCAGAAAAGUAUACAGUUCGUAAUGCUGCAAAUACAAUCGUCUCCAUUAAGAAUAGCUAUUAAGAAUAGCCAUUAAUUGAUGAUAAAAUAAUGCUUUUAAUCAUUUUUUUUUAUCGAUUUCAUCGAAAAAAAAUCACUGUACAUAAAGAAUUAUUAUCUUGAUAUUUAAGCAUUAUAGCAUUGCUUUCUAGAGAGAGAAAUAUUUUGUAUAUUCUAAAGUUUAUAACAUUUCAAAACAUUAUUAUCAUUAACCUAUAUCAGAAUAAUUUUUUCGACUUGAUUGAGAGAUAAAAAUAGAUUUAGAUUCUAUCAAAAAUUUCCUUUGAGAAAAGAAUGAAAGAAAAAAUAUAUAAAGUAUAUACAUUAUAAUUAUUAAACUAAUCGUUAUGGCUCAAAUGGUACAGCUAAGCGAAGAUGAAAGCAUAAAUACUAAACAUUGUCUUUAGAAUCCACUUUAAGAAAGAAUCACCUUGUACAUAGUAUGUACAUAACAUCUAAAAAAGUUGUACCUUCAGUUGGCGUUGAGUUAAUUAAGUUUGCACGUCUGCUUUUCGAGAUCGGAUACAGUGCAUGAGUAUACAUACCGCCGAUAGACUUCGAAUACUGAAAGGAUACAUGAAUUAUUUUGCAAUGAUCGUUUCCCGUUUUUCUUACGACACCCGUGAGAAUCGACUUUACAAUCGGCAAGUAGAAUCAAUGAAUCGCACGAGUUUCGACUAAGAAAAUUUUAUUUUAUUUUAUUUCCACUAAUAUCAAAGUGAACGAUUUGAAUUUCUUCAAAUUUAAUUAAAUUAGUUUGAAUAAUUUUUUUCGCGUUAAAAUUUGCAAAGAAUUGAUUAUUAACUAUUUUUUUUUUUGAAUAAUGCGAAAAAUUCAAAAUAUUGAAUACCGCUCAUAACCUAUAAAAUGAAAAAAUUUUCUGUUGAUAUUUUUCAAUGUGUCUAUAUCCAUGUCUAUAUCCAGUCUAUAACAGAGUUUGGAUACCAAUUCAUUGAAAAAAAUAACUAGUUAAAAUUUCAAAUAAAUAAUAACUUUAUUUAAAAUGUUUGAAUAAUAUUUAUUUGUAACUAUUAUAGUUGAAUUCGCUCUUCAUAUAACUUCGACUGUUUAACGAUUAUUCAUUCAAUGUUUUGAGUAAUAAAUUAUUGAUGAUAAAUUAGUGAAAUUUAUUUUUAAUUCAACCAUUAAAAUUUUGUCCAUUUCUGCUUUGAAACUUGAUUUAUUUAUUUAUAUUGAUUUAACUAAAAUUGUUUUGUAAAAUUUACGAAUUUACGAUGAGUCGUUUCACAAAUUCUGUUAAUUAAUUAAUUAAUUAAUUACUUUUCAAUCGAAUCUAAUUGAUAUAAUUGCUACGAUCAAAACGGCUAACGAGAAUUAUGAUUUACAUUGGAAAUUAAUGUUAAUUAUCCGUGGCUAAAAAUUUCUGCAUGAUUUAUAAAAAGGAUGAAAUGCAUGCAGUAUACGGCGAAUUCAACAAUUCGACAGACGUGUUAUUAAGAGCUUUAACGUAGCGUGCAAUCACCGUCAUUCAUUAAACCAAAUUAUAAUUUUAAUCAUGUCUAAUCAUGACAGGCAUGGAUGCACGAAAAUUUCUUAUUGGCUGCUCAUUUUGCUUCGUGUUAGCUCUUAUAGGUGAUGAUGAUGUAUGUGUAAAAAAUCGAUUAUAUUUGCAAAAGAAGAAAAGGAAAUAAGAAGAAAUAGGAAAAGAAUAUUCGAAAAAAAUGAAAAAAUAUUUUUGCAAAUGUUUGCAAUAUUUGUAAUUGUCAUAUUUGAUUAUAAGACGAGAUGAUUCUCUAGCAUCGCUAACAAUGAAAAAAUCGAAAGGUAUCAUGUUAAAUAUAAUUGAAUUUCGAUAUAUCUUCAAUUUUAGACUAACGUUAUUCUCUUUGGAAUAAAAACAAAACUCUUUGAAAUUUCCAUGAACUAUUUCGCGAUCUAUCAAGUUUUUAGGAAUGAUUUAAUGGGAAUACAUCGCAAAUUUACGUAUAUUCUAGAAUUAAAACAUCUUUAUGUAUUAUUUUUAAAUAGAAAUAAAUAAUAAAAAAAACUAAAAAGGA